AGUAGGGAAGAAGCCUUUCGGGGUGACGGUACCUGCAGAAGAAGCGCCGGCUAACUACGUGCCAGCAGCCGCGGUAAUACGUAGGGCGCAAGCGUUAUCCGGAAUUAUUGGGCGUAAAGAGCUCGUAGGCGGUUUGUCGCGUCUGCCGUGAAAGUCCGGGGCUCAACUCCGGAUCUGCGGUGGGUACGGGCAGACUAGAGUGAUGUAGGGGAGACUGGAAUUCCUGGUGUAGCGGUGAAAUGCGCAGAUAUCAGGAGGAACACCGAUGGCGAAGGCAGGUCUCUGGGCAUUAACUGACGCUGAGGAGCGAAAGCAUGGGGAGCGAACAGGAUUAGAUACCCUGGUAGUCCAUGCCGUAAACGUUGGGCACUAGGUGUGGGGGACAUUCCACGUUUUCCGCGCCGUAGCUAACGCAUUAAGUGCCCCGCCUGGGGAGUACGGCCGCAAGGCUAAAACUCAAAGGAAUUGACGGGGGCCCGCACAAGCGGCGGAGCAUGCGGAUUAAUUCGAUGCAACGCGAAGAACCUUACCAAGGCUUGACAUGAACCGGACCGCUGCAGAGAUGUGGUUUCCCCUUUGGGGCUGGUUUACAGGUGGUGCAUGGUUGUCGUCAGCUCGUG
rnacentral:rRNA from 1 species